GCACAACAUGGUCUAAUUUGUCUGUUUCUCUGGCCUUGUUUCUAAUGUUCCUGGAUGCAGAGACAUACCUAUUUGCGGCCUACUUCCUAUUCUCCAAGUGCAUUUUAAUUCCCCUGACUGCAUGAUUUUGUUCAGCAUUUAUGAAUAUCAUCUGUCUAAUCUGGAGAAACACGUCUUAUAGUUGGCCACUCUCAUGGUUCUUGUUGCCUUCUGUUGUUUGGAGGAAUCUAAGGAUUUAUGGAAGUUAUGUUGGUAUAUCAGAAGCUUGUUGGUAUAUAUUUGAAGGGCUUCAAUGAAGUCAACUUAUACCACUAAGUGGAUUGUUGAUUCUUCGAUGGAUGAGGCUGUAUAAGGGGAUCAACAUUAAUCAAUGUUGCUGACAGGCUGGACAUUCAGCAGCAACCUUGACAAGAGAAUGAAGGCCAAAUUGAGUUUCCUUGAGCAACUCAUUUAACGUUAAGAAUCAAGAUGGUGCCCAAGCUCAGAUGACAUCCUUUCUAACCCAUUUGGAAGGCUCCUCUCAUAGGAGGUGUGAAAGAAAAGAGAAUGGAAAGGAACAGGCUCUUCUCUUGAAGAAAAGCCCUCAGUCCAUACAGCCAGACUUUGUCUACAUAUGCCUUUCUAUGGGAUGCUGAGAGACCAAGGGCUUCUGACAUAGACAUGUGAGAAAUACUGGCUUUAAGUAUACUAUACUCAGUGUCAAAAGCUUUCAGGAUGCAAGAAAUUCCUGAAUUUGAGUCUCCAAAAUUUUAAACAAGGAAAGGAAGUAAAAAUUAUCUCUUUUUCGAUGUAUGGCCCUAUAGUUGGCCAAAAAUGAUUGCUUCUGUUGUUAGAUAUUCAUGUAUAUUUAAGAUUAAAGAAGGUGAUAUUGAUGUGCAAAUAUGAGAGUAAAUUGACAGACAGAUAACCUAAAAAAGUACAGUAAAAUAAAGUUAAGAGUUGUGAUGAAUACCUAAAGGUCCAUUGCCAGAUGAAUGUGAAGACGGAAUGUGAUUUAUAUAUAUAGUGGAAUAUUAUUCAAUUAAAAAGAAAAUGCUAACACUUGCUAAUAUAUAUAAACCUUCAAGACAUUAUGCUAAGUGAAAGAAGCCAGAUACCAAAGGACAAAUAUUGCACUGUUCCACAUAUAUGAAGUGAACAUCACAUAUUGCUGAAGUUCUCAUCAUCAGAAAGAGGCAGAGCUAAGAUUUAAAUCCAGACAUGCCUGGUUCUGAAUUCAGUUGUCUUCCUACACCCAGGAGCUUAUUACAUGCAUUGUGCUAGUCUUCCUGGAAAUCAGGCAAACUCAGUCCACUGCACCUCAUCUCCUUAUGUAAUAACCUGGAGAGCGGUGAGAGCCAUCUGCUUCAAGAGCGACAUAUUUGAGUCCAUAAGGUAAUAGGUUGGCAGAGAACAGAAGGAUUAUGGCAUUGCCAUUUGGCAUUCUUGACUUACUCUGCAUUUAUAAAAUCGAAAUACAUAGUCCAUCAUGUUCUCACAGAGCCUACCAUUAUCAGUCAUUCUGAAAUAAACAUGGUUAGGGACAUCAUAUUCAAAAUAAGUGAUCCUUGUUUUCGGGAAUGAUGUCUGGCAGGAGGAGUUUUUAAAUCCUGCUUUCUGAAGCACUAGCUUACAAAUGACUUUGUGAAGUGUAUUUUGAUUCUGGGGCCCAAGAAGGAGAAAAACAAGUAAGGGAGAAAAACAUAGGCUGGAUCUUAAGAUCACAAGAUAACAGAUGGAUUAAAGGGUAGAAGCCAGAGCAGAGGUUCCAAAACAAGAUUGAUCAUUCAAAUUCAUCUGAAGAACUUUAAAUAUAUGUAUUUACCUGAACCCAGCUUCAGGAAUGAGGCUCAGACAUCUGUGUAUUUAAAAUCUCCUGUGGUUAUUCUGAUAAUUAGCCUCAGUUUUGAGUCAUCUAACAAAGAAAAAGCAAAACAUAUGUCAAUCAGUUUAUCUUACUGUAAUUAAACUUCAGUGGGAAACAUGAGGUGACCCCAAAGAACUGGUUAAGUGUGGCUUAAGAAUUAGUUAAGCAAAUGUACCAAAAGACAAUUUUAAAAAACCAAAUAAAAAGAAAUUUUAGUUUAUUCUCAGGGGCUUUCACAGGAGUCUAUAAAAAUCUCAAAAACAUCCAGGAAGCUCCCAUCGAAUAAUUUGGCUACCUGAAGUGCUGAAUAAAAGGAGCUCUCCCAAAAGAAGCUGUGAAUUCUCUAUCAGGCCCAUGUCCACUCUUCUAGUCAUAGCCUUACUUCUUAAAGAAAGAGAGAAGCUCUAAUCCAAAUCCAAACAUAGGACAUAUGGCGAAGAUUAUUCUGAGAGACACAGUCCCAGAUUCUCCUCUGCUAUACAGGUGUGACAAAAAAGGAGCAAGAACAAAGACUCUAACAUAAUCCUUAGAUGUUUAUAAUAGAAAAAAGAAUGGAAAGAAAUAAACUUUAGCAUUUACACAGGUUGAGCUGACCUAAUCUGAAAAUCCAAAAUCCAAACUGCUAAAAAACUGAUUGAGUUCUGAAGCUUUGAGUGUCAAAAUGGCUCCACAAGUAGAAAGCUCCACAUCUGACCUCAUGUGAUAGGUCACGGUCAAAAUGCAAUCAAAAUUUUGCUUCAUGCCCAACAUUAUUUAAAAUAUUGUAUAAAAUUACCUUUGGCUAUAUAUUAAUAUGUAAGGUAUAUAUAAAACAUUAGUGAUUUUUGGUUUAGUCUUGGAUCCUAUCCCCAUAAUAUCUCAAUAUAUGUAUGCAAAUAUUCCAACCUCCCUGCGCCCAAAAAAUCCAAAAUCCUAAGCACUUCCAAAAUCUAACAGUAAAACAGGCUGAGUAUCCCAAGCAUUUUGGAUAACAGAUGUUCAACCUGUAUCACUUGGGGUCCAUUCAGGGGAACAAACCCCACGAGGUAUUUCAACAGAGAUAAUUUCAUAUAGGGAAUUUGUUAAUCAGAUGAUGGGGAACUGAAAAGGAAAAUGAGAACAUUAGAAGAGAUCAUUACAAAAAGCUGCUACCUCCCCUCAGGCUGGAGGAAUGAAAGGAAGCUGAGAUCAGGAAGCUCAUUGGGAAGCUGAUCAAAACUUACAAGGUUCAUAGAGGGGCCCAAAGAUUUAGGACUCAGAAUUCCAAGGAGGGUGUUACCUACCUCCAAGGAGGCUGCUACUGAAAUCUCAGGAGCUUGGAGGGAGGGUCUCACACAAUGGGGGCCUAACCUCUGAAGUGAGGAGCUACCAGCUAGUGCUGGUACCUCAGAAGUUGGGAAGAGGUCCUGUGAUGUUGAGAUGCAGACACAUAAUGAGUGGGCUCUGCAGCUGGUGGUCGUGAAGGGGCACAAUGACUCUGUUAGUGGGAAUGGCCCGAUGAUCUGAAAGCUGUAAUUAACAGCUGCUGCCAGGGUAAAAGGCCAAAGUGGGGUGAUCUGAUGGGAAAAAAUAAACAAGCAGAAAUGAACAAGUUCCUUCUCCCCUUCUCCUGCCAUUUACUCUUCCCCUAGUUCUUCCUAUUGAUGGAAAUUAAUAGUAAGCCUUCUGACAAAGGAGACAUGUUGUCUUCAGAACCAUCAUCACAAAGUAGAGGCUAGGAAAGUAGAUGUGGAACCUAAUACCGGGUGAAUCAUUCAUCGCACAGUUUCAAAGGUGGCAACAGAAUUAGCCAAAAGCAAGUAUAGGAUGAAAAUAACAAAGGGAAGGGCAGAAAUAAAAUAAGACAUAAACAUUUGAUAGAGAGGACCAACAAAACAAAAUUUUAAUUCAGUGGGAAAACAAAAUAAAAUUCUUACAAGCUUGAGUUAAAAAAAAGGAGGAAAAAAGCCACAAUGUUAUGACUGAAAAAAAAAGGUAACUAAAAAUGCUGCAAGGUUAAAUUUAAUGAAAAUAUGAACAACUUUAUGUUAACACAUUUGGAAACAGAUAACACAGGCAUAUUGGAGAGCAAUACAAUUAUUAUAGCUGUAAUCUUAGGGAUUAUUUAAUUAAUCCUUUAGAACAUUCAAUUUCUAUAUAUUAAUAAAAAUAUAAAUAUAUAUUCAAUAUAUGAUAUGUCUCCAUGUAUUUAUAUGAUAUAUUUUAAUAUAGAUGUAUAUUUUUAUAUAUUUCUAUUUCUAUGUAUGUAUAAUUCUAUAAAUAUAUAGAAAUUGAGUGUUCUAAAGGAUUAAUGGAAUUAAAAAAGUAGUUAAAAAAUUCCCACUCAAAAAAAGGAUUAAAAACUCCGGGUUUAGGCUCUUUCAGAAAAUUGAAAAUCCCUGUGCUUAAUUACUUUUUUUAUGUCCUUAAUUUCUUCAAAUAUUUCAUAUAUAUCUGUUUUAUAUCCUGUACCUAAUAAUUUCAGUAUCUACAGUCCUUCAAAGGUGCACUAUCUCUAGCUAUUAUUUAUCAUUUUUGUUGAUGUUCACCCAUGGUUGCUUGUGUAUUCUUUGACUGUACUUGCUGUUCUUUGCAUCUGAAUUUACUGCCUGAUUUUAAUACAUAUAAUCUCCAUGUACCUAAAUUAAAAUAUCUUUUCUCCAGAG
rnacentral:lncRNA from 1 species